GAAUGCCUUUCAAGCGGCGGGCACCAAUUUGAACCCCCGCUUUGCCGCCGUUGCCGAGCCCGAGCCCGACGUAGAGGAGAUUGCUUCUAUGCCGGCGGCCACCAAACGUAGCAACUAUUAUCCGACAGAAACGGUGCUAAUUUACCGUUUAUAUUGCGAGCACACCCACGUGACCUCGCCGAUAGCAUGUUGAUGAGCCGGGACACCUCUCAAAUGAAUCCCGACGAAUUGGCGUUUCACAUGUGCAAGGUGGCGGAGAUCAAAAAACGACACAACAUCCCGU
rnacentral:lncRNA from 1 species